UAACACAUACACAACAGUUUUCCAUCAGUUUCACUGAUCAAGGAGUCCAUGGAGUCCUUGGACUCAACAGAAGAGUUAAGGCCCUUCCAGGGCCGAGUGGCCUUUCACAAUGAUUACAGAGAUGCGGCCAGGGAAGGAGCCCACAGUGAGGCAGGGUCACCGGGGCCGAAGGAAAACUGAUGGUGCCACACUCCUACGAGCACAGUAGCGAGCUACACAUUGGCCUAAACAUCACCCUGUUCCCGCUUCCUGAGAAUUCCGCCCCCCGCCCCUUUUAAACCCUUUGUACAUUUAUAUUUACACAGAAUAUCUGUUAGGAGGUAAAUUAAAUCUUUCAUGGUCUCA